rnacentral:rRNA from 1 species
AUUGAACGCUGGCGGCAUGCUUUACACAUGCAAGUCGAACGGUAACAGGCCUUCGGGUGCUGACGAGUGGCGAACGGGUGAGUAAUGCAUCGGAACGUACCCAGAAGUGGGGGAUAACGCAGCGAAAGCUGUGCUAAUACCGCAUGUGAUCUGAGGAUGAAAGCGGGGGACCGAGCAGCAAUGUUUGGCCUCGCGCCUUUGGAGCGGCCGAUGUCGGAUUAGCUAGUUGGUGGGGUAAAGGCCUACCAAGGCGACGAUCCGUAGCUGGUCUGAGAGGACGACCAGCCACACUGGGACUGAGACACGGCCCAGACUCCUACGGGAGGCAGCAGUGGGGAAUUUUGGACAAUGGGCGCAAGCCUGAUCCAGCAAUGCCGCGUGCGGGAAGAAGGCCUUCGGGUUGUAAACCGCUUUUGGCAGGAACGAAACGGUGUCCGCUAAUACCGGGCGCUAAUGACGGUACCUGCAGAAUAAGCACCGGCUAACUACGUG